rnacentral:lncRNA from 1 species
ACUGCUUACCGAAGUCCUUUUUGCUCCAUUUGGUAGGUCUCUAGACGUUACAGAGAACCGCAAACAACCCAAACUGCUAAUCUUCAAUACCGCUUUAUACUCACGAUCUUGUAUCCAUUGACUCUCUUGUUAGAUUAAUCUAAUAAAUUUCAUUCACUCCGCAUACUCAAUCCUAUAGAUGUCCUUUUAAUUCUUCAUCAUAGACGUAACUCGAUUUCACAAAACAGUCAAGAGUAAUCAAACCCACUUCAUUAAAAAUCUCGAUUCACCAUUACAACACUGACUUCAGCAAUGAUUGCCUCAGUCUUCCCAAAACCCUAUGAAGAAAAAAAAUCCAAUUCUCCGUCUUUUUUUCCCUUCUCGAAGCAUGAAGCUAGCUCUCCGACCCUUCAAAACCCCCAAAAACUUAUUCUCUCCCCCUUUCAUUUCUUAACCUAUCCUCCCCUUUAACCCUAAUUCUCCCCUCUUUCAAAUCCUAGCCUUUGAAUUUCUUCAAUCUUCCGUCUUGGAUCCGGAAUUGGCUCUUGUCGUCAG